UGUUCCAAAACAGAUGACCCAACUUUGUAUUAUAGUAUAAAGUUAGUACAAAGUUGGGUCAUCUGUUUUGGAACGG
rnacentral:pre_miRNA from 12 species